rnacentral:rRNA from 1 species
GACGAACGCUGGCGGCGUGCUUAACACAUGCAAGUCGAACGAAGAGCGAUGGAAGCUUGCUUCUAUCAAUCUUAGUGGCGCACGGGUGAGUAACGCGUAAUCAACCUGCCCUUCAGAGGGGGACAACAGUUGGAAACGACUGCUAAUACCGCAUACGAUCUAAUCUCGGCAUCGAGGAAAGAUGAAAGGUGGCCUCUAUUUAUAAGCUAUCACUGAAGGAGGGGAUUGCGUCUGAUUAGCUAGUUGGAGGGGUAACGGCCCACCAAGGCGAUGAUCAGUAGCCGGUCUGAGAGGAGGAACGGCCACAGUGGGACUGAGACACGGCCCAGACUCCUACGGGAGGCAGCAGUGGGGAAUCUUCCGCAAUGGACGAAAGUCUGACGGAGCAACGCCGCGUGAGUGAGGACGGCCUUCGGGUUGUAAAGCUCUGUUAAUCGGGACGAAAGGCCUUCUUGCGAACAGUUAGAAGGAUUGACGGUACCGGAAGAGAAAGCCACGGCUAACUACGUG